rnacentral:rRNA from 1 species
AUUGAACGCUGGCGGCAGGCCUAACACAUGCAAGUCGAGCGGGGUUUUCGGACCUAGCGGCGGACGGGUGAGUAAUGCGUAGGAAGCUGCCCGAUAGAGGGGGAUACCAGUUGGAAACGACUGUUAAUACCGCAUAAUGUCUACGGACCAAAGUGUGGGACCUUCGGGCCACAUGCUAUCGGAUGCGCCCACGUGGGAUU